UGGGGAAUAUUGGGCAAUGGGCGCAAGCCUGACCCAGCCACGCCGCGUGAGUGAUGAAGGCCUUCGGGUCGUAAAGCUCUGUGGGGAAGGACGAAAAACAUUGGCUAAUAUCCAAUGGCUUGACGGUACUUCCUUAGCAAGCACCGGCUAACUCUGUGCCAGCAGCCGCGGUAAUACAGAGGGUGCAAACGUUGCUCGGAAUCAUUGGGCGUAAAGCGCACGUAGGCGGCCUGAUAAGUCGGUAGUGAAAGCCCUCGGCUUAACCGAGGAAGUGCUAUCGAAACUGCCAGGCUUGAGUACCGGAGAGGAUCGCGGAAUUCCCGGUGUAGAGGUGAAAUUCGUAGAUAUCGGGAGGAACACCAGUGGCGAAGGCGGCGAUCUGGACCGAUACUGACGCUGAGGCGCGAAAGCUAGGGGAGCAAACGGGAUUAGAUACCCGAGUAGUCCCUGAGCGGGCUGGCAAGGCGCAU
rnacentral:rRNA from 1 species